UACGGAGGGUGCAAACGUUGCUCGGAAUCAUUGGGCGUAAAGCGCGCGUAGGCGGUCUGAUAAGUUGGAUGUGAAAGCCCCGGGCUUAACCUGGGAAGUGCAUCCAAAACUGCCAGACUUGAAUCUCGGAGGGGGCCAGAGAAUUCCCGGUGUAGAGGUGAAAUUCGUAGAUAUCGGGAGGAAUACCAGUGGCGAAGGCGCUGGCCUGGACGAAGAUUGACGCUGAGGUGCGAAAGCGUGGGUAGCAAACAGG
rnacentral:rRNA from 1 species